rnacentral:rRNA from 1 species
GAGUUUGAUCAUGGCUCAGAUUGAACGCUGGCGGCAGGCCUAACACAUGCAAGUCGAACGGUAACAGGAAACAGCUUGCUGAUUCGCUGACGAGUGGCGGACGGGUGAGUAAUGUCUGGGAAACUGCCUGAUGGAGGGGGAUAACUACUGGAAACGGUAGCUAAUACCGCAUAACGUCGCAAGACCAAAGAGGGGGACCCUCGGGCCUCUUGCCAUCGGAUGUGCCCAGAUGGGAUUAGCUUGUUGGUGGGGUAACGGCUCACCAAGGCGACGAUCCCUAGCUGGUCUGAGAGGAUGACCAGCCACACUGGAACUGAGACACGGUCCAGACUCCUACGGGAGGCAGCAGUGGGGAAUAUUGCACAAUGGGCGCAAGCCUGAUGCAGCCAUGCCGCGUGUAUGAAGAAGGCCUUCGGGUUGUAAAGUACUUUCAGCGGGAGGAAGGGAGUAAAGUUAAUACCUUUGCUCAUUGACGUUACCCGCAGAAGAAGCACCGGCUAACUCCGUGCCAGCAGCCGCGGUAAUACGGAGGGUGCAAGCGUUAAUCGGAAUUACUGGGCGUAAAGCGCACGCAGGCGGUUUGUUAAGUCAGAUGUGAAAUCCCCGGGCUCAACCUGGGAACUGCAUCUGAUACUGGCAAGCUUGAGUCUCGUAGAGGGGGGUAGAAUUCCAGGUGUAGCGGUGAAAUGCGUAGAGAUCUGGAGGAAUACCGGUGGCGAAGGCGGCCCCCUGGACGAAGACUGACGCUCAGGUGCGAAAGCGUGGGGAGCAAACAGGAUUAGAUACCCUGGUAGUCCACGCCGUAAACGAUGUCGACUUGGAGGUUGUGCCCUUGAGGCGUGGCUUCCGGAGCUAACGCGUUAAGUCGACCGCCUGGGGAGUACGGCCGCAAGGUUAAAACUCAAAUGAAUUGACGGGGGCCCGCACAAGCGGUGGAGCAUGUGGUUUAAUUCGAUGCAACGCGAAGAACCUUACCUGGUCUUGACAUCCACGGAAGUUUUCAGAGAUGAGAAUGUGCCUUCGGGAACCGUGAGACAGGUGCUGCAUGGCUGUCGUCAGCUCGUGUUGUGAAAUGUUGGGUUAAGUCCCGCAACGAGCGCAACCCUUAUCCUUUGUUGCCAGCGGUCCGGCCGGGAACUCAAAGGAGACUGCCAGUGAUAAACUGGAGGAAGGUGGGGAUGACGUCAAGUCAUCAUGGCCCUUACGACCAGGGCUACACACGUGCUACAAUGGCGCAUACAAAGAGAAGCGACCUCGCGAGAGCAAGCGGACCUCAUAAAGUGCGUCGUAGUCCGGAUUGGAGUCUGCAACUCGACUCCAUGAAGUCGGAAUCGCUAGUAAUCGUGGAUCAGAAUGCCACGGUGAAUACGUUCCCGGGCCUUGUACACACCGCCCGUCACACCAUGGGAGUGGGUUGCAAAAGAAGUAGGUAGCUUAACCUUCGGGAGGGCGCUUACCACUUUGUGAUUCAUGACUGGGGUGAAGUCGUAACAAGGUA